UACGUAGGUGGCAAGCGUUGUCCGGAAUUAUUGGGCGUAAAGCGCGCGCAGGCGGUCCUUUAAGUCUGAUGUGAAAGCCCACGGCUCAACCGUGGAGGGUCAUUGGAGACUGGGGGACUUGAGUGCAGAAGAGGAAAGCGGAAUUCCACGUGUAGCGGUGAAAUGCGUAGAGAUGUGGAGGAACACCAGUGGCGAAGGCGGCUUUCUGGUCUGUAACUGACGCUGAGGCGCGAAAGCGUGGGGAGCAAACAGG
rnacentral:rRNA from 1 species